rnacentral:misc_RNA from 1 species
ACACACACACACACACGCACACAUUAGUGUUUUCAAUUAUGAGUAAUUUAUUUUAUUUUAUUUGGAUUUCAAACUUAUUAUAACUUGAAUGCUAGUUAUUAUUAUGUUUAACUUCAUGUUAUUUUAAGUUCCCUCAUUUAUUUUAUUUUUUAUGAUUUUUUUUUUUAAUUUUUACGCCUCUCCUUGAGCCUAGACCCAGGUGAGCCUUUAAUAACUAUGCGGGAACCUAAAAUCACAUGGUAGAAAUUAGCGAAAAGAAUAUUUAGUGACCCUAUAACUUUUAGAAAAUGUAAAUGCAAACCAAGUAGAAUAUAUUGGAGCCAGCUGGCACAUAGUGCUUCAAUAUUGCAGAAAAUUAUUAGUGACGAACGAUUUCUUAGGCUAUCUAGAAAAGUCAACCCCAAGUAUUGUAUUGAUAUUUUUCAAGAGUUGAAACAGAAUAAUUUUUAUUCAGUUUAUGUUCAAUAAGUAGGAAUGAUUUUCCUUUGACUUGUGCAGCCUCCUUGCAGAAAAUCAAAUAUGUUCAAUUCAAUGAAUGAGGGCUCAUCUGAACAUCUUCAUUAUUUUGCAGUGUGAACCCAUAUUAAGAAAUUAACUAAAUUUAUGAAGACUAACUAUCAAUAAAUACAAAAUGAACUACUGUAUGGAUGCCAAGAAACUCAUCUAUUGCACUAUGGAAAACUACCAUGAUUCAUUUGUAUGACGUAAUGACCAAGGUAAAACAACUUACAAUAGACUGAUGAAUGUAUAAAAACUCCAAGAUGAGUAAUUUGAUUGUUAUACACUCUGGUAACUGUAUAAUUUAGAAGGCAUUUUUAAUUACCUUGUCUUUCACUAAACCACCA